GAUGAACGCUGGCGGCGUGCCUAAUACAUGCAAGUCGAGCGAACAGACGAGGAGCUUGCUCCUCUGACGUUAGCGGCGGACGGGUGAGUAACACGUGGAUAACCUACCUAUAAGACUGGGAUAACUUCGGGAAACCGGAGCUAAUACCGGAUAAUAUAUUGAACCGCAUGGUUCAAUAGUGAAAGACGGUUUUGCUGUCACUUAUAGAUGGAUCCGCGCCGCAUUAGCUAGUUGGUAAGGUAACGGCUUACCAAGGCAACGAUGCGUAGCCGACCUGAGAGGGUGAUCGGCCACACUGGAACUGAGACACGGUCCAGACUCCUACGGGAGGCAGCAGUAGGGAAUCUUCCGCAAUGGGCGAAAGCCUGACGGAGCAACGCCGAGUGAGUGAUGAAGGUCUUCGGAUCGUAAAACUCUGUUAUUAGGGAAGAACAAAUGUGUAAGUAACUGUGCACGUCUUGACGGUACCUAAUCAGAAAGCCACGGCUAACUACGUG
rnacentral:rRNA from 1 species